GCGGCACCAGAACAGAACCGGCCCAGCGGGUCUCAUCAGAGCCAGCCCAGCCAGGAUGCUUCCAGUCCUUGCUCUGCUUGGACCUGUGUGCUGGUUCUGGUUCUGUCUGAACACGUCCAUGGAGUCAGAACCACGUCCUGUUCUGAUCAGAAGCAGCAGGUUCUGUUUUUACAUGCUGGCCUGGUCGUGGCCAGAGAGGACGCCCUCCAGGCUGCCGCUGGCUUUCUGCUAACAGAAAUAAUUCAGUCAUCGUUUUAAUUGUCUACACAGAAAAGUUAGAAAUGUUUUACUAAAUCACACAUAGUGUUUGUCUGCAGUCAAUUGAGUUUAGUGGUAUAUUUCAGCGUAAAAUGAGACAUCUGGCUGAUUAAUGAAUGAGAAUAUGAUAAAGAUGAUAAAACAA